rnacentral:rRNA from 1 species
AAACGGUGGAUGUGGAUGGGGGACCUUCCUGGUCUUGUGUCGGAGCCAACGCGUUAGCAUCCCGCCUGGGGAGUACGGCCGCAAGGCUAAAACUCAAAGAAAUUGACGGGGGCCCGCACAAGCGGCGGAGCAUGCGGAUUAAUUCGAUGCAACGCGAAGAACCUUACCUGGGCUUGACAUGUUCCCGACAGCCCCAGAGAUGGGGCCUCCCUUCGGGGCGGGUUCACAGGUGGUGCAUGUCGUCGUCAGCUCGUGUCGUGAGAUGUGGGUUAAGUCCCGCAACGAGCGCAACCCUCGCCCUGUGUUGCCAGCACGUCGUGGUGGGAACUCACGGGGGACCGCCGGGGUCAACUCGGAGGAAGGUGGGGAUGACGUCAGAUCAUCAUGCCCCUUACGUCCAGGGCUUCACGCAUGCUACAAUGGCCGGUACAACGGGAUGCGACCUCGUGAGGGGGAGCGGAUCCCUUAAAACCGGUCUCA